rnacentral:rRNA from 1 species
AAAUUGAAGAGUUUGAUCAUGGCUCAGAUUGAACGCUGGCGGCAGGCCUAACACAUGCAAGUCGAACGGUAACAGGAAACAGCUUGCUGUUUCGCUGACGAGUGGCGGACGGGUGAGUAAUGUCUGGGAAACUGCCUGAUGGAGGGGGAUAACUACUGGAAACGGUAGCUAAUACCGCAUAAUGUCGCAAGACCAAAGAGGGGGAC